UACGAAGGGGGCUAGCGUUGUUCGGAAUCACUGGGCGUAAAGGGCGCGUAGGCGGCCUGAUAAGUCGGGGGUGAAAGCCUGUGGCUCAACCACAGAAUUGCCUUCGAUACUGUUAGGCUUGGGACCGGAAGAGGUAAGUGGAACUGCGAGUGUAGAGGUGAAAUUCGUAGAUAUUCGCAAGAACACCAGUGGCGAAGGCGGCUUACUGGUCCGGUUCUGACGCUGAGGCGCGAAAGCGUGGGGAGCAAACAGG
rnacentral:rRNA from 1 species